AUACUUACCUGGACGGGGUCAAUGGAUGAUCAAGAAGGUCUAUGGCCUAGGAAAGUGACUUCCAUUGCACCUCGGAGGGGUGCUUUCCUAAGGUCUGCCCAAGUGGCAGAGCCUACGUCAUAAUUUGUGGUAGGGGGAGCCUGCGUUCGCGCGGCUCCCUA
rfam:Glycine soja cultivar W05 scaffold521_30, whole genome shotgun sequence.